CCUACGGGUGGCAGCAGUGGGGAAUAUUGCGCAAUGGGCGAAAGCCUGACGCAGCGACGCCGCGUGAGGGAUGAAGGUCUUCGGAUCGUAAACCUCUGUCAGCAUGGAAGAACGGUCACUGUGCUAAUCAGCAGUGAAUUGACGGUACCUGCAAAGGAAGCACCGGCUAACUCCGUGCCAGCAGCCGCGGUAAUACGGAGGGUGCGAGCGUUAAUCGGAAUUACUGGGCGUAAAGCGCUCGUAGGCGGUAUGUCAAGUCAAGGGUGAAAUCCCCGGGCUCAACGUGGGAACUGCCUUUGAAACUGGCAAACUGGAGUGUGGGAGAGGAUAGUGGAAUUCCAGGUGUAGGAGUGAAAUGCGUAGAUAUCUGGAGGAACAUCAGUGGCGAAGGCGACUAUCUGGCACAUAACUGACGCUGAGGAGCGAAAGCGUGGGUAGCAAACAGGAUUAGAUACCCUUGUAGUC
rnacentral:rRNA from 1 species